CAAUAGCGUAUAUUAAAGUUGUUGCAGUUAAAAGCUCGUAGUUGGAUUUCUGGUGGGAGCACGGGUCGGCCUUCACGGGUUGUACUGUUGUUGCGUCCUGCCGUUUCGGAGGGAAUGGUCAUGUUAUUAGGUUAGCGUGAUCGGAAACUCUGUCGUUUACUGUGAAAAAUUAGAGUGUUUAAAGCAGGCUUAAGCCGUUGAAUACAUUAGCAUGGAAUAAUAAGAUAAGACUUGGGUCAUUAUUUUGUUGGUUUGCGGAUCGAGGUAAUGAUUAAUAGGGAUAGUUGGGGGUAUUCAUAUUUAAUUGUCAGAGGUGAAAUUCUUGGAUUUAUGAAAGAUGAACUUAGGCGAAAGCAUUUACCAAGGAUGUUUUCAUUAAUCAAGAACGAAAGUUAGGGGAUCGAAGAUGAUCAGAU
rnacentral:rRNA from 1 species